AGCAGCCGCGGUAAUUCCAGCUCCAAUAGCGUAUAUUAAAGUUGUUGCAGUUAAAAAGCUCGUAGUUGAAUUUCGGGAUUCAUCCGUUGGUCGGGCUUCACGGUCCGUACUGGUGUGAUGGGUUCCUACCUUCUGAAUAACCGGCAUGCCAUUAAUUUGGUGCGCCGGGGAAGCAGAACUAUUACCUUGAAAAAAUUAGAGUGCUUAAAGCAGGCAAGUGCCUGAAUAGGUUAGCAUGGAAUAAUAAAAUAGGACGGCAUGGUUCUAUUUUGUUGGUUUCUAGGAUCACCGUAAUGAUUAAUAGGGAUAGUUGGGGGCAUUAGUAUUCAAUUGUCAGAGGUGAAAUUCUUGGAUUUAUUGAAGACUAACUUCUGCGAAAGCAUUUGCCAAGGAUGUUUU
rnacentral:rRNA from 1 species